rnacentral:rRNA from 1 species
AUGUACGUCUACCUCCCGAACGAGCGGCAUGGCCUGCAGGCCAUGCUGCACAGGCUGGGCCUCCAGCCCGGAGCAGCUCGAGGCGGACUCCAUGGCGCUGAGGAGCACCGUCGCCGUGGGCGUCUUCAAGGUGCCAAAGUUCACCAUAUCGUACAAGACGGAGGCGAGCGGGAUGCUGCAGAGCCUCGGGCUGCGCCUGACGUUCAGCACCGCGGCCGACUUCUCCGAGUUGCUGGAUUUGGAACACAUGAAGCCGCCGAGGCUGCCGUUCUACGUGUCCCAAGUCUCUAUCACGAGUCCUUCGUGGAGGUGAACGAAGAAGGGACCCAUCGUUGGCGGGCUGGAGCAGGCCGGUCAACUACGUGGACUUCGUCGCCGACCACCCCUUCAUGUUCUUGA